rnacentral:lncRNA from 1 species
CGCGUCUCUGGAAAGACGCUGUGUGGCCCUCGCCGGCCGCCAUCCCCGAAACUUGCGAGUGUCGCGUCUGCAGCUUGCGGGGUUCGCGGAGCGGCGGGCAGAGGUGAGUGUUCAGGGAUUUAGGGUCCGCGACUCGCCUCCAGCAGUGGAGACAGAGGGUCAUCGGUCUGGUCUGCGUGGGCUUCUGGGAAUGUUUCAGAGCCAGGGAGAACGCUUGAGCAUUUUUGUCAUCUGCUAAUAAUUUUAGCCAGGUGGCAAGUGGAUGGACUGUGGAGUAAGAAGUACCUGCCUCUGCCUCUGACUUGGGUUCUAGCCUAUGGGAACAAGACAUUUUCAGUAAUGGAAGAAAGAGCUUCCAGGCUAGGGAAGAUCAUCGUUUCCAGUGGUAGCUUGACCUGAGAUGAUACCUGACCACAACUUCUGGGAAGGCCCAGAAUAGACAGAAGAGAGAGAACACCCUAGAGUUGCUAGCCCCUAAGAGUUGAAGAAAAUGGCCAAGGCCCAGGUGAGGUUUGUUUUACCUAUUUUGUCUUUUGUUUCCCAGUGGAUCUGUGGAAGCUUGUAAAAGACAGUCUGGUUAAAUGAGAUAGUGUAUUCGGAUAAAAAUCAG